rnacentral:rRNA from 1 species
UACGUAGGGGGCAAGCGUUAUCCGGAUUUACUGGGUGUAAAGGGAGCGUAGACGGCAGUGCAAGUCUGGAGUGAAAGGCGGGGGCUCAACCCCCGGACUGCUCUGGAAACUGCACGGCUGGAGUGCAGGAGAGGUAAGCGGAAUUCCUAGUGUAGCGGUGAAAUACGUAGAUAUUAGGAGGAACACCAGUGGCGAAGGCGGCUUACUGGACUGUAACUGACGUUGAGGCUCGAAAGCGUGGGGAGCAAACAGG